rnacentral:lncRNA from 1 species
CAUAGCUGGCUGGUCCUCUUAGUCUAUAACUUUUAUCCAAUUUUGUGCCUCUACUUCUAUUCCUCCAUUGCUCUCCCCCUUUCAUGGUGUCUCAAUUUCCUUCUUUCCAGUUCUCCUCCGCCUGCCCUCCUUCCCAACCCCGCGCCAGCUGAAUGCUCCCCCCUCUCUCCCCAUCACCUCCUGCCUGCGUUCGUGCAUUCUCUCCUCUCCCCUCCAUAAUCCCCCCCCACAGCCCCGUCCCGACCCCAGGAGGUGAGGGAGGUAAAGCUGUCCGUCGUGGCCGGAGAGGAAGCCGAAGGGGAGGUGCAGCGUGCUUCCGAGGUAAGCGUCGAAAAAACAUGAUGACAGUUGCAGGAAAAUUG